CACGUAGGGCGCGAGCGUUGUCCGGAAUUAUUGGGCGUAAAGAGCUCGUAGGCGGCCUGUUGCGUCCGCUGUGAAAGCCCGGGGCUUAACCCCGGGUCGCAGUGGAUACGGGCAGGCUAGAGGUAGGUAGGGGAGAAUGGAAUUCCCGGUGUAGUGGUGGAAUGCGUAGAUAUCGGGAGGAACACCAGUGGCGAAGGCGGUUGCCUGGAGCUUGCUGACGCUGAGGCGCGAAAGCGUGGGGAGCGAUCCGG
rnacentral:rRNA from 1 species